UCCUCCCUCUUUCUUCGUGCUUAACACAUGCAAGUCGAACGGAAAGGCCCUGCUUUUGUGGGGUGCUCGAGUGGCGAACGGGUGAGUAACACGUGAGUAACCUGCCCUUGACUUUGGGAUAACUUCAGGAAACUGGGGCUAAUACCGGAUAGGAGCUCCUGCUGCAUGGUGGGGGUUGGAAAGUUUCGGCGGUUGGGGAUGGACUCGCGGCUUAUCAGCUUGUUGGCGGGGUAGUGGCUUACCAAGGCUUUGACGGGUAGCCGGCCUGAGAGGGUGACCGGCCACAUUGGGACUGAGAUACGGCCCAGACUCCUACGGGAGGCAGCAGUGGGGAAUGUUGCACAAUGGGCGGAAGCCUGAUGCAGCAACGCCGCGUGCGGGAUGACGGCCUUCGGGUUGUAAACCGCUUUCGCCUGUGACGAAGCGUGAGUGACGGUAAUGGGUAAAGAAGCACCGGCUAACUACGUG
rnacentral:rRNA from 1 species